rnacentral:tRNA from 1 species
GCUCCUAUCGUUUAAUGAGGUUAAGACAGUGUUUUUUCGUGAUGCUAAUGUGAGUUCAAAUCUCACUGGGAGU